rnacentral:rRNA from 1 species
GACAAACGCUGGCGGCGUGCUUAACACAUGCAAGUCGAACGGUGAAGCUCCAGCUUGCUGGAGUGGAUCAGUGGCGAACGGGUGAGUAACACGUGAGCAACCUGCCCCUGACUCUGGAAUAAGCGCUGGAAACGGCGUCUAAUACUGGAUACGAGAAGGGUCCGCAUGGGCACUUUCUGGAAAGUUUUUCGGUUGGGGAUGGGCUCGCGGCCUAUCAGCUUGUUGGUGAGGUAAUGGCUCACCAAGGCGACGACGGGUAGCCGGCCUGAGAGGGCGACCGGCCACACUGGGACUGAGACACGGCCCAGACUCCUACGGGAGGCAGCAGUGGGGAAUAUUGCACAAUGGGCGAAAGCCUGAUGCAGCGACGCCGCGUGAGGGAUGACGGCCUUCGGGUUGUAAACCUCUUUCAGCAGGGAAGAAGCGAAAGUGACGGUACCUGCAGAAGAAGCACCGGCUAACUACGUG